GGGACGGCCCCCGUAUUCUGACACACUCACACACGCAGACACACACCUCCGCGAUGUGUCACUACCAAUUUCACCUGCCUCUUCCCGUCAUUCCCCGCUCGCCGCUCCAUCUUCCUACACUUGAUCUUUUCCCUCUUUUUUUUUUUUUUUUUUUCAUUUGCUCUCACUUUGUUUCUCUCCUCUCCCACCCUUCCUUGUCCUCAACCCCCCCUACGCUGUGUGUCACCGCUGCUGGGAAGAAAAGAAAAAUGCACCGGCUGAAUGAAAGUACAGAGAGAGGGGAUAAAACAGAGAGUCGAAGAGGAGAAGAAGAUAGUGAAAGCUGGAGUGUGUUUGGAGCGCGGCGAUGCCUCCAUCCAUCACGAGCCGGACGCUUCUUUGAUGGAAUAUCGUGAGCAGCGGGGGGGAGAAGAAGGAGAGAGAGAGAGAGAGAAGUAAGAAGCUGAAAAAGUAGAAGAGAAGAGGACUGAAACAAGCGUUGAGAAGGCAGGACAGCCAGCGCUCGCCUCAGGAGGGUAUGGAGACACAAACUGAGAAAAAAACAAACACAUACAGCACGCUCUCCACACUCAUUCCUCUCUAACAACUUCAGCUUCUCCGUCCCUCUUGGCGUUUUUCAUUUCAGUUUUGAUCUCCUCUCUCUCUCUCUCUCUCUCUCUUUCUCACUCUCUCUCUUUAGCACAUGCUCCCUCACUCUCUCUCCGCUCAGUUGUGUCCACAGGCUCUGUUUGGGGUUUGGCUAAUUGUGAAACUAUUCUCCGGACUUGAGCUGAGAAGAGACUUUCUCUUCCCUCCAUCUCUUUUUCAUUCUAAUUAACUCCACCCUGUGCAGACCCUCAAAGAGCCUCUCUCUCUCUCUCUCUCUCUCUCCUUCCUCUCUGACUCUUCGUCUCUCUACCUCUCUCUCAGUUUUUUUUUCCCCUUCUCUCCAUCUGUCUGCCUUUGAGAGGCAAAUAAUUGGAUGUGGAGAUUGGCUUUUCUGUGGCUGAGCUGGAGGAUUGAGGCUGCGAGACACCUCACGCGCACGCACGCAGUUACACGCACACAAACACACUUGCACCUGGAGCUCUGGUCGUGUGCGCUGGUUCUAAUUGUUCAAAUGUGACUGUGUCGUUAAGAUGAGUGCUAUGAAAAAUCUCUUUCUUUUUUAAGUUUUAUAUCAGCAAAUCUGUCACUAUUUUACAUUUUUCUCCCAAAACCAACAGCCUGUGCAUCUCAGUUUACUUUCUAACUUUUCCUCCUCUGUUUGUAGCUCCUCGGGGACAGAAAUGGGAAUCAUAGUCGAGGAUUAGUUUGACUUUGAAAACGGCAAAAUAGUUUUCUCAAACAGCAGGAGACUGAAGUUAUUUUUGGAAAUGACGCAUUUAAGAUGAAAUAUUUUCAGAUGCAGGUGAAUACACAGGUACUGGACUGAGUUUAUCGAGGAUUUCGAAAAGCAUCUUGAAACAAACUGGACGAAAAUUGGCACGAAAGUGGAAAAUACGGGUCACUGAUAUGCAAAAGCCAAAUCUUAUUGACCCUCGUCCAGCUAAUAUAAACCUUUACUGAGACAAUACUUUCUCAAUGUGUCGUUUUAAACAUAUAGUCAGAUUUUUGUAGUUUGAGGAUAAUCUGAUCACACACUCCAAGCAUAUCAAACCAACAUCUAGAAAGUUUAUGAUUUCCCCUCCUCCUGACUUUCUGACAGCAACAUGGAUGAUCAUUUUUUGUAUUUCUCUCGAUUAAUCAGUUACAAACUUAAAUUUUUAUUCAGCAGAUUGAAUUAACGUAGAAAUCAGAGUAAGUAGAUGUAGACAGAGUAGGAAGUCCAAGCGGAUAUGAUGCUACAGGCAAAAACUCUCAGUCGAUGACGGAGGACCAUAGCAACCACCUCCGUGCCCACCUUCACUCAUGGAGACUCUGCUUUAUGUAAUCACUGGCUAACUACACAUUAUCUGUUACAUAGUCUCCUGCAUGCUCCUCAAUGCGAAAAAUUUCCACAUCAUCUUAUAGCUGCUUGAUAAUUCACACUCAGGAUUGAGGACACACCAAAACGCUCUGAGUGAGAGACUUUCUGAAAGGGAAGUCUGUCUCUGGAAGGCUGAGGGACUUUUAAGGAGAUUAGCGGCGGAGGUAUUUCCCCGCAGAGAGACAGAGAUGAAGAGGACGAAGAGGAGCUUCAGAGAAAAAAAAUAAAAAAAAAGACAUGAGAAGGGUUGUAAUGCUGGUGGGCUAUAGGCGGGCUGAUGGAGUGGGCAACACGCACGCAGACACGGACACUCAGACGUGAUGUAAAGCCGCUCUUUUCACUGCACUUUGUGCUCAGAGGCAGGGCGCCAAGUCUCAAGUGACUAACAGGAGACACUGUCGAGCCUUCACACUGUCCACACACUCUCACUCAACAUCCCCGUAUAAACACCUUCACACAGACACACACACACACAGACAGACACACACACAGACACACAAACAAAACUGCAGAUGGAACAAGAGGGACUCCACUCUAGGGGGACCCUUUUUCAAGUCUGUCUUUUUUUUUUCAAGCCUGUUUUUUCUUCUGCUGUAUUUCAUUAUUCACCCAGACUCUCUCUCUCUCUCUCUCUCCCUCUCUUUACUCCUCACCUUCCCGCCCAACCACACAUCUCCCUCCUCUCUCCACCUCCUCCUCCUCCUCCUUCUCCUCCUCCUCCUCCCACUACUACUAUUGCUGCUGCUUAGCUCCAUCCAGCCCGGUCUCAUUGUCCUCACACACACCUCGCCGCCUCCAAGGGGGUGUGUGAGUGUGUGUGCGCCCCUGUGUGUGCAUGUGUCUUCGUGAGGACGGGGGUGCAGCUGGUCAUUCCUUCACCACAGCAGCGCAGCUGAGCGUCGGGAUCCACUCUGAGGUGAGUGUGUGCCCUUUUUUUUUUUUUUUAGUAACACUUUUUGGAGUCUGCAUGUAUUUAUAGACACUCACUUUUGUGUGUCUGUGUGUGUGUGUGUGUUUGCUGUCUUUUCUGAGAUCAGUCACGGUUGCUGUGAGUGUGUUUAGAUUUCCGUGCAGCUGUGUGAGGUGUUCACACUCACAGGGGUCAAAGGUGCUGGUGGUGACAUUUGGAUCCCUGUGAGAUUGGAUAUAGAGCUGAGAUUGUGCCCCAGACUUUUUCAGAUUGUUGGAGAGGUUGUGAGUGACUGUGACUGUGGGUGUGUGUGAUGAUCUGUGUGUGUGUGUGUGUGUGUAGCCAGAGGGUGAGCUUGGCUAAGUCCGUACGUGCUCUGCGUACAAAUCGCUGACCACCGCUUGAGUCUAACCCUGUUAGUUCCCGCUUUAAAAGUUAACACUUUGUCCUUUCAUUUUAUCCUCUUUUUUUUUUCCUCUUCUCUAUUUCACUUUCUUCUUCUUCUAUCUUUCUGUGUCCUCAUUCUGUUUCAUUUGACUUUGCUGACUUAAUUGGCGUGCCUGCACAUUGGAAACCAAGGUGCCAAAGCCGUGAACCAAAUGCAAAUUUUCAAACAACCAGCCUACCAAUUUUAUGUGCAAAUGAUCUUUACUUCUUUUACCCUCUUUCUCUCUCUCUCUCUCACUCUCUCUCACUCUCUCUUGGCUGCACCCUCUCAGUGUUACACACAUAUAUAUUCACAAUCCGUGGCAGAUUUAAGUAUUUCCCGCGGGGUUGGGAGGGUGAACAGAAAUAGAUCUAAUUCUAAAUCAGGACAGAGCGCUCGCUCGCUCUCUCGCUCGGCUCAGGCAGCUCCGUCACCCUCCCUCCCGUUACAGCCAGCAGCUACAACACUUGCUCUCUGACAAUAAAAGUUCAAAGAUUAGCUGGAAAUUUAACUCAUAGAGUUAUGGAGUUGAAAGCUAACUAAGUCUGAGAGAGUGAUGCUGAAAUGUUGCCAAACUCCACGCAUUUUGGGCACUAUGUUGGAGUCAGGACGGGCGAGAACAAAAGGGCGUCUCAGUUUUUGGAGAUUUCAGGAGUUUGGUGGUUUUUGCAUCAACUGGGGCCAUGCCGCACAACAAAUCAUGACAAAAAUAAACACGAGAUAUUUAAGUGCCCCGUUUACUCAGUAGAAACUUGACUUUUGAGAGGUUCGGUGGGAGUUUAAGCUGUAUGGAUUUGUCUGUUCCGGCUCUUGGCUGCUACAGUAGCUGGCUGCGCUGGAGAAAGCUGCUGGAUUAGGUCUCUAAGACUGGAGUUAAGAUACAGAUCUGGAGCUGAUGAGUGCCUGUCUUUCUACCUGCCUGCCUGUCUGUGUGUGUGUGUCAGGGCUGACUUCAGAGCAGCUAUACGACAGGUCAUGGGCUGCCAGCUGCCUCCAGCAUUCCCGAUGACAGAGAGAAAGAAAGCAAUGUGAGAGAGGUAAAGGAAGAGUAGGGGGAAAGACAGACAGCGGAGCAGGUUGAAGGAAUGUGUGUGUUCAUAUGUCAAAGUGUGAGAUUGUGGUGGCAGUGCUAGAGAGAUAACGCCGGUUGGGGGUGGAGGGAAGAGGGGGGUAGGAUAAGAUGUGCUGAAGGCUGGAUAAGCAGCACCUGGCUUAAGAGGAAAAAUAAAAGAUAAGGAGGCACAAAGAGAGAUGUGGGGAUGUGAGGGUGGGGGUUGUAGAAGUGGGUGAAGCCUCCAAUAUCUGCCUACAGUCAGUCACAUUAAAACCCACUCAUCCUUUACCUAUCCGUCUCCCCCUCUUCCUCCAUCUCCCUCAACAACCGCCUUCCUCCUCUCUACCUUUCUUCUUUUUUUUUUUCUGACAAUGAGCCGACAGCAAAGAACAAAAGAAGACAUAAUACAUGCAAACCCUCCUCUCUCUGUAGUCAGGAAGGAGAGGAGGAGGAAGAAGAGGAGGAGGAGGAGAUAGGAACGAGUGAGGUAUGAGUAAGACUUAACAUGUAAGGCAAUUGCAGUGAUCAAAUUGCAUAAAGACAUAAAAAUAAAAGCAGCUGCACUGGAAAUCUUACGAGUAUGUAGCUUUAAAGGAAGGUGAAAAAGGAUGUAAUCUUUGGAAAUGAACAGUGUUGCGUAGUAACGCGUUAUUAUAAACGCCAUUAUUUCUGUAACUCCGUUUCUGUUACCAAACGCUUUUUAUCCCCCAAAGAAAAGAUAUUGAGCACAUAUUUAAUAUUUAUCAACUUUAACAAACCACUUACCAACCCCAGUCUACGCCCUCAAAUAAGGACUUUCCACUCUUAAUAGCAAAGUUAGAAGUAAUGUCUGGUAUCUUCUACCCCACUGUAACAGGAAGAAAAGACAAUUACCUGGUUGGUCUGUAUAUUUCAUGUGUCGCCAGCCUCACUCUUGCCGUGCUUGGCAUAAAUACCCAUUAGACAGGGUAGAGUACAGCCAAGUUACCUGCACUGUGGAGUUCCUGCCUGACUUGGUCUGUUUCUUUAUCCCCCUCCAAUCCCCCUCAAGGUGGUGUCAGCAGAGCAUCAAAUGACCUAUCUUAGUAUUUUGGGGGAUGUUUGGAAUUUUGUCUGAACUUGGACUUUUGAACUGCUUCAGCACUAUUUGUGCACGGUCACGGACUUUUGUUAGUUGUUGAAUGAUUGAAAAUGUUCCUGACCAAAUGCUGUUUACUCUUGCUAAAAUACAGGGGUAGUAAAUUGUCCUGAUAUUGGUGGAUCGAGAAACUGGUGGAGGACAAUGUCGAACUCAAAAUAAGGCUUUGUAGUACAGCAGUGGACUCAGUAUGUAGCCUUAGGGUGCUCAAGUGCUAGGAGGAAGGUAAGGGUGUAUCUGCCAACCAACUGUGGUUUGACUGUUUGGAAGACCAGGACCCAGACACACAGUCAGGUGACUGAUACCAGGUCCUUGAGUUUGGUGGAAAACCUGGAGACAGCUAUAGUGUUAAAUGCUCAGUUGAAGGGCUGCAGGAUUAAUCAAUUUUAAAUAAUAAUCAGUCUAUUUGAUUAUGAAGAUGUUAAAAAAAAAAUUUAAAUCACCAAAUGGAUUUUCCUCUCUGUCAUGUCACGCGCCUCCAGGCCACCAUAGGCUCCCCUGAGGGAGCACUCCCCAGCUCCCACACCCACCAGUGUAAAUAGACAUGACAUUUGCAAAGGAAGGCAAUAAUUUCGUGGCUAAAUAGGGCAAGAGCAAGUCAGUUUUGUGACACACAGCGUAACUGUUUCAUGGUGGCUGCGCAUGUCCAGCAAAAACAACCUUAAUAUGCAUGCUCUGUACUCUUCUUCUGUCUUUUGUGCAUUUCCUGUGUCGCGUUACAGCGCCACUUACUGGCUCGGCAUAUGCACUACAUUGUUUUCAGUGGUUUAGUUUUGAGAGAUGAUAGAAAAACUUUUCAUUUUUAAAGUGAAGUUUGGUGAAGUUGUCACUGAAUAAAAAAUCAAUAUUGAAAUCUAAAAUCGCGUUUUCAGAGAAAAAAAUAUCAGGAUUUAAUUUUGGCCAAAAUCGUGCAGCCCUUCUCAGUGGUAUAUACACCAACAGCAAACUAAAAUAGCUCCCUGUCUUGCUCGGAGACGAAGUGUGGUGGAUGCAUGCUGUGGUGUGUCACUUUGAUUUGCCAGGACAAGGAGAACAUUCAUGCUGGGUCCAUUUGGCUAGUUAGUAAGGAACAAAUGUGACCCCAGUUUGGGCUGUAACCUAUCAUGCAGGCAUCAGGUAUAUUCAGAGUGAUAGUGAACGGUGUUUCUACCCAUUGAUUAACCAUUGCAUCAGCUGUUUUCCUCUGCAGACAGCCUCUAAUAAAGUUGAGUUUGUUUUCCUGCACAACUUUAUUUCUAUUUUCCGCCCACACCAUUAUUUGAUUGGCCAGAUUUCACAUAGACAUGCUGUUUUCUAAUAAUCAAUAUCUGUAUUAGCCCUUAAAAAAUGAAAAAUAUUGGUGGACUUCUUUCUGAAAUAUGAAAUUUUCCAUUCACUCAAAUAAAUUGACCAUUUUUCCUUUAACUUUAAAUCACUGUCUUGGAUUAAAAACAAAAACAUAUACUCUUCAUCUCGCUCUUGCUUGCUUACUCUAAGGGUUUGUAUAUCAGCACACAACCCUUUUUGCCAAUAGUUUCAGUUCUUGUUCACAGUUUUCUCACUAAGUUUUAACAUUUACUUAGUUCAGCAUCCACAUUUAUUCUUUAUUCUUUUAGAAAAGGCAAGCAGUGUGAAUUACUCUGCAAUCAGGUAUACUGUGCUCAAUGUACAGUGUUUCACCCACACCUGCAGUUGGCAGCUGAUGGGUGAAGUGUAAGUGCGGGGAGCACAGACUCUAUUAACAUUGCAGCUAGCUACUAACAGUAUAGUUACAGCAGCAGAGGUGUCGAACCGCCCCGUUGCUUUUCUUUGUAGUCGUAUUUUUUCUUUGAUUCAAGUUUUUCUUGUGGCUCUGUUUUCUGUUCUCACAAGGAUAUUUCAAGAACUGUUUGCUAUUUUUAUGUGUCGCAGAUGCUCAAUCAGUCAAACUCACCCAUGAGGCACUGUAAGAAACUUUAAGAUUGUGUUGAUUCUGGGGACCCUGGUGAUCAGACGUCCCAGUUUAAAGUUAUAGGUGACCUUAGAAAUGUCUGAAUUUCUUAAAAAGUGCACACAUUACAACAUUUGUGUCUCAAUAUAGCAGCAGAGUCCCCCCAUGAUGGUAUAAGCAUCAAAUCCUGUUCGCAGCCAUUUUCCUUUUCGACCUGAUAAAGCCCCUAUUAUAGAGUUUAUCCACCUGUAACAAUUAGAGAGUCAUUAUAUUAUCAGAAUUAUCUGUAGUAGUAAAAAAAUUAAAAAGUUAAUUAUCUGUAUUUGCAGAAAUGAAGAUUUCUGAAGGAGUAAUUAAUAAACAAAAAGGUGAUGUAUUGAGUAUGCGCACAGCGUGACAGCUUACAAAUGCUGUUCUUGUUUUAUGAAGGUCUAAAACAAACAGACUGUAACAGCGAGAGUAAAUUCUAUUAAAGGAGUAACUUUUCUUACAAUGAAAGAAAGGUACGUGUAUCGGUAUUGUUAUCAGCCCUGCUCCAGCCUCACUUUUAUAGAGAAAGAAAAACUCCUCUUCGUGUUGGCUUCCUUUUCACUGCCAUACUUAUCAGCUGGACCUAGACACCAAAGUUCAGCAUAAAGACUUAACAGUUGUUGUUGUUGUCGUUAGCCCAAUUUUACUAUGUAGGUCAUGAGGAGGCAUCAGUGUGUCAGUGCCUGUAAAAAAACUCCUUACAGUGCCUUUAAGAGUCCUGGUACUUAUGUGGAUAAAAUUCUGAAGGCUCUCUGCAACAGCUCAGUGCACUUUUUGCAAAGAAUCAACAGUGUAGCCUCAUGAUAAUGAACAACGCAAAAUGAGUUUGAUAUAGUUUGAAUUGUGUCACAGUAUUUAAAUGUUUUUGUGAAAAGCCGAAGAGUGAUUAUCCGUUGUAAAUGAUCAUUAUUGUGUCCGUCAUUUCAAGUUUAAUCUUCAUUCAUAUGUGGACACCAGUGUUCCUGAGCCUCUUCCUGUGGCUGGACUUACUUAUUCAGCCUAUUUGAUAAUUAAUGGCUGCUGUGUAUUAAACGUUUUACAGACCCCAUACACACUCACAGUAAUCGCACCGUGGCAGUGAUUGUAGCUGUGCUAAUUAAAGGAGUGUUAGCAGUGAGUGAAUAAAACAUGCAUCAAUCCCUCUUCCCUCCAUUUCAUCCCCCCAUCCUCCUUUUUCUCUCCUGUAUUUAUUUUCUCCCUCCACAUUUACUUCUCUCUAUUCUAUCAGUUUUUCUUCUUUUGUUCUUCUAAUCACUCUCCACUCAUUUUCCCUCUCCCCCUUCUGUUUUUCCUUUUCUUCUCCUUCCUCUGUUUUUCAUUUCUUUUCUUCCAUCUUCUUCCCCUGUUUCCUCCUUUAUCACUGUCCCUCUCUUCCUACUCUUCACCUCCAUCCUCCUCUCCUCUGCCUCCUCAUUCAUUCCCCAGAGAUGAACCAAUGUGUGCAAGCUGUUGCAACAAGGGCAACUCUGGCGUAGAUAGAGCUGGUCUAAACGUGUGCGUAUGUGUGUGUGUAUGUGUGUGUGAGCACUGAGACACUUGGAAACACACUUUUAGGCACACACACACACGCACACACACACACACACACACACACACACACACACACACACACACACACACACACACACACACACACACGUGCCUUGUAGACACUGCAGGUGCUGCAUCAAGAUAAAUGAGCUGUCAUUAGCCAAUCAGGUCAGCCAGUGGGAGGGCGAUAGAAAACCAAGGAAGGAGAUCAGCUUGUGGAGGUCAAGCCUCUGACAGGGAAGAUGUGUGUGUAUGUUAGUGUGUGUGUGUGAUUCUGUGAGUGUGUGUUUGUAAAAAAGUGUGUAUCUAUGAGUGUUUUGCUCUGGGAGGUUGAGAAGGAGGAUUUCCUGAUUAGAUCUGAGCUCUCACAAAGUUUUCUUCUUCUCCUCGCAGCUCAACCUUUCCCUUGCCUCCUUCCUUCCUCCAUGGCUGUUUAUUCUUUCUUUUCCCAUCAGCGCUCCUCUGGGAAGUGGGGGAGUGUUGGAGAUUGUUGAGCUGCUGUUUGACGGCCUAAUUGCUAUCUCCAGUCUGUUGUUUAUCUCUUUAUCGGUGAAUCCUCCAAGUGAAGGAGACAGAGGUUGAGGAGGAAUUAAAAGUGUUUCAGAAAUGUAUUUCCAGCUUUGGGAUUUCUGCUUGAGGAAAAGGUAAAUGUCACGUUAGCUCUUCUCCGGGGAAAACUCUAUGAAACCAAUUAGGGGAAAAAAAGUUACACUGGCAUAUAUUCUCAUUACGGCACAAUCAUCAAUCAAUGUGAGCGUGUGAAAGUGUGCAUUUGCCUUGUUACAUUUAUACCUAAGGCUAAUGCAAGUGGAUUUAUGCAUAAGGUGCUCGUUCUCACAGCCAAGGUACUGCUGGGAAGGAGGAAGGUAAAUGAUUAACCCCCCAGAAAAAUCCUAAUCUCCUUGAUUCUCCUCCUCUCUCUAUGAAUGUGUGUGUGUGUGUGUGUGUGUGUGUGUGUGUGUGUGUGUGUGCGUGUGUGUGUGUGUGUGUGUGUGUGUGUGUGUGUGUGUAGGGGGCUUUCAGGAUGGCCGCUGGCUUUCUUUGAUCACUAAUCCAUUCUCUGGCCUGACUUUCUGUCCCUGGUUCUUUUUUUCCUCUGCCCAUCUCUCCGCUCUUCUCUCAUCUCCUCUCCCGCUCUCGCCCGUUGCCAUGUCUGCAUUGUGAGCAGCUUACAGGCAAAUAUCUAGGCCAGGGUGCCCUCUCUCUCCCUCUCUCUCUCUCUCUCUCUCUCUCUGUCCCUCUCUCUCUCUUUCUCUUUCUGAUUCAAUCGCCCUCCCUCUGCUUCUCACUCCUGCUUAACUAUUCUCUGUUUUCUUGAAUGUUUCAAAGACAGAUUUGGAUUUUAACAAGUCUAUUUUUGUGCCACUCUAGUGAGUUUUUGGUCGCAGUAAUCCCUCCAUCUGUAGAGGGAAUCCAAAAAAAGCAAAAGUAGUUUGCAAGGCAUUGCAAUUUGCAGGGGUGACUCUACUAAGUAAGAUUAAAAUGUUGUUUCUAAAUCUACAAAUUCAUGCUUAUCUGUAUUCUGUACGACAGACUUAAUCUGCAAAAAAACUGAGCAAGGCUGGAGGUUACAAUCACUGUUUGCUUAAAUCUGUUAAAACACACAGUACAUACAUAGUGGACAUAUCGUACGAGCUAGCGACGUUAAGUCGACUGUGGUUAGGAAGCUUUCAGCAAACACAGACUGUCAAAAUUAACUCUUGCAGUACAGUUGUACCAACGACAACAAUAAACAUCGUGUAAACGACCCUUUGCAGUUUAAAAAAAUAAAAAUAGUUGGUGUGAAAAAAUGUUCGCACAACAAUUUAGAAAGUCAAGUUAGCUUGACAUUUAGAGUAGAUGCAGUUUUCUUCACAAAAAAAAAAUCCCUGUUUGGGUUUUGAUUUUUGUGUGGCUGUAAGAUAACAGUUGUAUAGACAAUAAACUAAACCUGGGCAAAAAAAACACUUCAGUCAGUACUAGGGAAGGGGGAAAUGGGCUAAAAAAUUUAUCACGUUAAGAGUUGCUAUUCUGGCAAUAACAAUAAAAGUCUAGAUUAUUAAAGGACUAUUAUAAUGAUUAUUAAAGGACUAUUAUAAUUCCAGUCUAUAUUUUUGACUCAUUUUGUCUUGAGAACACCAGUUGGAAUAGUCAAAUAAGAUACUUAACCACAAGUUUGAGUGGUAGGUUAUAGAGAAAACUAAUGACAACAAACAAGUCUCAAAUGUGAAAACUCUUAUUGCACAGAGUGAACAGCAGCAGAUCCACUGUCAGAUGUCAGGCAUACCUGAUUGCACUCAUCUGAACCACAGUCUUGAAGGAAAUCCCUCAUGUGGAGCCUCGUUCAGUAACAAACUGCUCAGAAACGUCUUCUUCAUUACCUUCAGCCAUGUUUGUUUGUCAUUCUGCUCUGUGUGGGUUAUGGCCGCGAGUCCGUCACUCACGCUUAUGUCAUCAACUUGUAUUUAUUAGUAUUUAUCAUGAGAUGGCAAAUAUCUAUCAUCGAGGAUUUUUCUGACGAUAUAUCAUGAAGGAUAACUUAUCGCCCAUCCCUCAUCAGUGUCACUAACUACUAUAAAGUAUUACUAAGGUGUACUUAGUAAUACGGCUCUGCUUAGAAAGCACCCUGCCCCUCCACAUGCACUUGUGGGACGCCAAAGCCUGAGGUAUGGAGGGCGAGGCCCCUUCUGUUUGUACAUACAUGAAAGACCAAGGCAGGGAGAGCAGCAGCAAAGACCCCUGAGGUACAGAGCAGACAGUAUUUAUGACAAUGGUAAAAUCAGACGGCAUAUCAAUGAGGAGCUCCAGUGGGCAAGGAGACAAAAUGCAAGCAGGCUAAACCAGAACAUCCAUAUUAGGAUCAGCUGAUGUAGACUAUGAUACCAUGCCGUGCUAAAUCCAGCUAUUAGCUUUAGCUUAAAGAUACGGCAUGUACAAAUGGAAAUAUGUUUUCUGGCUGUCAGAACCUGGAUUAAAAUGCUCUUUUGGUUGUAGUUCAUGCUGACUACCUCUUGUGAUGCAUCGUCAUAGUUUAGCAAGGCACACGGAGCUACUGUAAGUUAAAGGCAUCAGUCAGGACACCAUUGAACCUAAAGGUUAAUGCUGUCAGCUAGUGCAGAUCGAUACUGAAAUAUCGAUACUUCCAAUACCAGGUCUGUAUGCUCAAAAAUUGAUUCUCAAAUGAAAAUAUCGAUACUUUUGAUACUUCAGUCAUUUGUGGUAAUGUACGUAUAUUAUUAACAGGAACACAGUGGAAAGUAACUCAACUAUUGACAUCUUGUCUAAAUGACACGCAGUUGGUAGAAACUACGUUUUCUUCCACCUGGGUAAGUGAAUAAUACGUAAUCUGCUGCUCACUCAACAGUCUCUCUCAGUCUGUGUAGAGUCAAUGGUGGAGAGGAAAAGGAGUCAUGUGUUGAGCUAUUUCAGCCCCACAAACAGCGAAGACACAGUCUGUGAAAUCUGUGGGAAAUUAUAUUAUAAAUAAAUAAAAAUAAUUAUAUAAAUAAUAUUUUGUUUACUAUUUUCUUAUCAUUUUAAAGGUUUUAUUAUUUUACUCAUGUUAAUUUUUUGUGUGUUUGAAACACCAUUUUCAUAUGUUUCGUAUAAUUGUGUCCUCUGUUGUUUUUUUCUGUUGUAUUAGCUUGGCUUUAUUGUAAGUGAGGCUGCUACCUCAAUAUACUUCAGAGUCUAAAAUAAAUAGAUCAGUUACAGUUACUCUGAUGGCUUGUAUCUUUAGGAAGCUAUGAUUUGAAAUACGCUUUUUAAUUUUUUUUUCCUUAGAUUUACCAGGCUCUUAAGUGUAUUUUCACAAAGUAUUGGUAUCGCCGAUAUUAACCUGAAAUUUGUGGUAUCGAACAUCUCUAAUGUCAACUCAAACUAGUUAGAGUGAUUAUGAUCUAGAGCCGGUUUUUGAUUCCCAUCCCUGCCAGUGUGUUACGGGACCUGCUUCUAUAAAGAAAGAAAAGGCUCAUUUAAGUUAACAGAAACCAAACAGUUUGGGUUUUUUGGUCGUUAUACAUUGAUUUAACAUGCACAUAUUAUUGUUUUCUGUUCUGUUAAAUGCUGCUGAACACUUGACUUCAGCAUGGACUGAGGUGUAUUAUUUCUUUGAGUUUCAGAAACUUUCUCAGAAUAAUGCCAGAGACAGUAAAUCUUUAACCUACAUAUGGAGUGUGAGUACUGUGAUAAGAGGGUCUGUGAAAAAUGGAGCAAAUUCUUUUUAUAGAAUUUUGCUUGGCUUAACAUCCUUCCGUGUUCACCCAUCUUUAUUGCUUUCUCUCUUCUAUUUCCUCCACAUUCACCCUCCUCCCUUAUUUCUGUUCAUCUGCCUUUCUCUCCACCUCUCUCUCUUUCUGAGAUCACUGUGACCUUUCUGUCUUUUUUGCUCUAGCUUCCCCUCUCCUGUCUAUUUUUUCACCCUUCAAUUUCAGGUAAUCUGUCCGACCAGCUGAGGCGAGAAAUCUCUGGGCUGCAGUGUACACAUCAACACACAUACCCUGUCUCACUCUGUGUCUCUCACACAGUUCAUAGCCUCUCUAAGGCUCCUGCCAAUGCCUCACAGAAUUAUAAUUUAGCCUGUUCACAACUUCAUAGAGAAGCUCAAUGCUCGACCAGACUGUUGUUGUGCGAGUGAGACCUGGUAAUUCCUCUGCUCUUUGCCCGGGUCUUGUUAAGCCUUUUUCCCUGGUGGGAACCAGCGUGUUAUAAUCAACGUAGCUCCAGUCCACUUCAGGAGGAUCUCUUUGGCUCUUUGUACUCCUGGAUCCAAGAGCCAACUUAUAGAGUGUAAACUAAAUGCCUCCUUUAUUGUUGCAAAUUUACUCCAAAUUCCUAAAAUAGCUGUUCACAUUGACUAAACCAACGAGUCUUCAUCUGUAUCCAAAAUAUAAGAACAAAUAACAGGCAGAUAACCACAUGUAGCUUUAUUGUGGGUGUGGUCAGGAGGUAAGACAGCUUUGAAGCAGGUGUGGGCUUGAACAAAUUCUUGCAUCUCCGUCCAACCUUGGCAGCGUUUAAAGCAAAAGAAAAUCCUUUGUAUCUCAAGCGAAAUGGUUUCACUGGGAGGCAGAACCAAACGACUUCUAUUGCAAGUGCCAGGCACAAUAUACUGUGUCUAACAGGGACUACACUUUAUUAUAAGUGUAGCCAGUGGUUCUACAAGCAAUAAAAGACCAGUCCAAUAAGCCCCUAAUUCAAAGCAAUGACUUGUGAAGUGUUGUUGUGAGUAUACAGACUCACAAAUCAGUGAGUCGGCAGGCUUUUGUUUUAGACAAGACCUGAUCGAACUGAAUUAAUCACUCAGCAGAGAGGCAAUUAUCUGCUAUUCUUCUUCAAAAUCAUUCAUUUCAAAAACAAGUCCAAACAUUUGCCCACCUGCAAAUGCCGUAUUUUUAUUUUGUAAAACAGGGAUGGAUUCUUACCGAACACAAAUCCCAGAGCCUUUCAGCAAACAGAUGACUAAAUAUUUCAGCCUGUAGGAGCGACAGCUGAUCCUUUAAGGUGAUGAAAGUGAUAAAGGACCUGAACCAAAUGCAUUACUUUUACUCACCAUUAUUAGUACUUCAACAAGCAACCUGAGGAGCAAGAAUGAAGUUGGUGUUCAAUUCAUCAACAUAUCAGCUAGUUCAUGUUUAUAUUGUACUAAAUAAUAAUGAACAUUAUCUCAGGAUACUUUACAAAAAGAGCAGGUGUCAUUUUAAGAGCCUCGACAUGAGUGUGUUUAGAAACUAAUCUUAACAGCUACCUGAACAUUGAUGCAAUUAUGGACAUGAAUCAAUAUUACAUGAAUGCUGAAGGGUCCUAGGAUUGCAUUACAGAGCAGGGAUAAAAUAUGGAUACAGUAAUAUAUGGUGGUCCUGACCCAUGUGAUUUAAUUAUUGAUAGGCUGGUGCAAAAUAUCAAUAAUUUAAAUGAAAAAACGACAACACUCUCAAUAAAUUUCCUUGACAGUUUGAAUGCUGCGUCACUGCUCCAUGACUCCAUACAGUCAGGCGUCUGACAUGAAUGAAUGUUAAGGGACCAUGGUUGAGGGAGAAGUUGAAAUGGAGCCAGAUCAGGGCAUGCAUGAAUUUAGUAAAAAUAAAUCUCACUUCACUGCUCCCUUCAAUAGUUGUAACUGUUUCGCUUGUUUUAAUGAUCGGAUCCAUUUGACUGAAUGGAAGAGAUCUGUACAGAUCAGAUCGGCUACCACCAAAUCUUGUGCCGAACAACGGACUACUACUCUAAAAGCUAAUGGAGCUAACAGCAGCACCAGGACAAGCAGUCCAGUGUUUUAGUGCUUACCUGUAGCUUCCAGGUCAGUAUGCGUCUGAGAGGACGAAAGUUGGUAGCCGCCACAUUAGGACUGGGUGAUUAUAUGAUUGUGAUCGAUGAUUGUGAUAAAUUUCAGUUCGAUCACCGUGAUCAGCUGUGAGCAUAUUUACUCGGUCAAACAUGGCAGAAAUGUGCGUCACAACAGCCAAUCAGAGUCGAGCUUUUUCUGCUCACUUCUAUAAGUUAUCGGAGAAGUAAACAGAAUGACCGAACAUGGAGCUAAACGCUGAGGGCAGCCGUGACUUUGAGUCAUAUCGUGAUCUUGUUUUUUGCCAAAUCGCCCAGGCCUACGCCACAUGCUCUUACCUUUCCCAAGAUGGGCAUACCCAGUUGUUAUCAACUUUUUUAACCGUCACAGAACCGCCUCAAAAGUUAUUUCCUGCCAGUUUACCUCAGUAGCUUACCUGAAAAACAAUGGUGGGAAAUUAGCGAAUCUCCUUUUGCACUUAAUGGCAUGUAAUGGCAACUGCCAUCAGGUUACUGUUUUUUUUUUUUUUUGUUUGUUUGUUUGUUUGGCUGGCCGGGAGACGUUUGAUGAGCUGGGACAUUGGAGCAUGUAAUCAGCUAUUGGGCCAGUGCCCUUGAGACGUUACAGACUUGAGGCCGGCGUCAGCAAGACAUAUGUAUGCUAUCUGGGUACCAACUCCAAGUCUUAUGUUUUAAACAGAGAUAAAUGAAAAACAAAUUAAGAUGAAAUAAUUUGUUAAAGAUUAAAACAUAUUGACAUGAAUGAUGGACUAAAGUAGACUUGGAAAACGGGUAUUUUCCUCAACUUAGUGUGACCAAAUGGACAUAUCAAUGUGGAGUGUGGAGCCAUGCUGGAAAGCGGGCAGAUAUAUUCAGGAGCAGGUGUAGAGGUUGUGUGUGUGUAUAUGUGUGUGUGUGUUUUGGUGUAUGUGUGUAUUGGGAGGACAAGCACAAAGCAUUGGCCUGUGGAGAGGAGAGAAAGCUCCUGUGUGUUUCAUAGUCAAUAGGCGCUUUGUUCACUGGGACAGGCGGACAGUCAGCCAAAGGGACAUACUAAGACUCCAAUGUACUGUAGUGUACCUGAAUCUACACCCCCCACAAGCACAGGUGCAAAUACACUGUUUAAGUACUAAAGUCCAACUGGUCACCAACAAUCUCCAGCAGUUUUCCAUCAGUCUUUUCCUUCCACAUUCUCCUCUUUGCUCCCCAUUUUCUGUCACCUUCUAUGCGUCCAUCCACCAACUCCAACGGUUUCCAUUUUUUUUUAAUCCAACCAUUUUCCCUGCAAGGGGGUGGGGGAUGGGGGGUCUUGCCAGGACAGAGGGCAUUUUGUGUUGGACGAGGAAAGAAAAGGAGAAAGAGAGAGUCGGUUGGGGGGAUAGAAUUCAUAUGAAGGGGGGCAGGAAUGCUGCAGACACACAGGUAAAGGCUUUGUGCAGGUACCACAAAGAAGUGCAGGAAUCCAGGACGCACACUGGGUCUGAUGUCCAUGUGAUGGUAAAGAAGUAGGACUGGGGCCUGAAGCCAGAAAACAGCAACAUCCUGAAGACAGGAAAAAAGAGAAAGAGCUGUCUGUGCGUUUCAGCAGAUCCUAUAACUGGCAUGGAAACUCUCCUUUGGGCCGCGUGAUGAUAAAAAUAAGGGAGCUGAGGGGAGUGAAGGAUUGCUGAUAAGACGAUGUAAGUAAAUUUAGCUUUUUUUUCUAGAUUUCGUCUUUUAAAUGUAAACGGUAAAUGUUCAAACAGCCAGAGAAAAGCUGCAUGAAAGUUAUUGCUUUGGGGUUUGAAACGUUUAGGGCCACUGCAGAGUCGAACACAGGGCGUUAUUCAGCAGUUACAGCUGGUUACUGACGGUUUUAUGGCGAGUGUUUGAGAUGCGAAGUUUCUCAGUGACUACUUUAACUCAGACACAUGUUAGCAUGCGUCAUACUCACAUUUAGCGUUUCUGCUGUGUGUGUGACGUGUGUGUGUGUGUUUCUAAAGGCAGGGGUGGCAUAAAUAAUGGAUAAAGGUCUAAUAAGCUUUCUGUGGACCGUCUCUAGGCUGUUGACCACUGGGAUCAGCAUUAGGAUUCUGUCACUCAAACUCAAAGGCACAAAACUCAGCUUAUCUACUGCUAUAUGCGCACACACACAAGUUCCAGUGUGUCCACGUAGACGCGCUCAUGCCCAGACGUUCUCACGCACACCAGCAAACACUGAUCGCCUUAUCUCUUGGUCCAAACAAGAAGAUAACAAAUAAACCACAUUGUCUGUUUCCACAGAGGAUCUCGAUAAGACACAAAUCAGCUUACACACACAUACGCAGACAAACAUGCACACACAAAAAUAUAUACAGGCCUAUACAAGGAAACAGUGCAGGGAUGAGGCUGACAAAAACUCUCUAAAAAGCAGGAUGGAUGACUUUGACAUUAAUCCCGCCUGCUUCAAACUCUCUUUGUGUCCCUCUCUGGCUUUAUUCUCAAACCUUGCUUUUAUCUCUUAUUUUGUCUUAUCUUCACAUGUUUUUCCAGCCCUCUGACUUUCCCACUCCAGUGCUUGUUGCUUUAGCAGAUUGGGUCCCAAUCUGUAAAGUAGCUCUUUUGUUAACGGACGCUGAUAUACUGAGAUUUCACAUUCAUGAUCGGUCAUUGGCAGACUGGGAAAUAUGUGGUUUUACAUCUUUUAUUUUCUAAGAAAAGAUUUUUGGAGAUGAUUUAGUUUCUUACCAGCAGUAGGAUAAAAAUAUUCUCACUGUUGUACCCAAAAUAUAAAGAUUUAGUCACUAACCAGGUAGAAUAGCCAGCACACAGCUGUUCUGGCUUCGUUCUAAGCUAAAGCCUGAUUUAAAAUUCUGCAUCAAACCUACGUCAUACAUUUUAUUAGCUCUGUUCCUGUGCAGAAGCCCACAGGUGUGAUCAUACACACCCUUAUCUUUUUAUAAUUAUGAAAUGGUGACAUUAUUUGUCAUCCAGUAAUAUAAAAGACCAUUGUGCAAAUUACGAAAGAUAACGGACUAAAGUUUUGAAGGUUCAAGGACAAAGCAAAACAAAACUGCAACAUUUUGAUAAUAACAUUAAAAAUCAAAUGCCUGGGUGUUCAUACUUGGUGCAAACCACAGACUGUAUAUACUAUUGACAACUUGGCUCCGUCUUCCGUCAUUACACAUAUUUGAAGCCGAAUUGCUCUCGGUAUUUGCGAAAUGUUCUCCACUUCCUGGAACCACCACUUGCGCAGUACCGUUGUACGCAUUCAGCAAAAGAGCCACUGUGAUGAUGCUCUGCUCAAACAACUUAUCCCCUGGGUGAGCUACGCAAACUUUGUGCGCCCAUAGGCUGUAUCAAGUGUCAAUCAUACAAAACAUGAACCCCCUACUAAUAACUUUUAAAAAUGGAGCUGCACAGAAAAAAGAGGACUUGAGCACAAACCAGUCUUACAGUAACUACAUGUCAACAUCACAACCAGGGGGGAGAAAAAAUUAUAUUCCGUGUAAAAAGAUUCUAAAGUUUGUCCACAGCUCCAUAGGGAUUGCUGGAGGAGGCGGGAUUUAUGACCUAUACCAGAGGUUGCCCAUCAUCAGAGGGCGCUGUUCUCUGGGUGGCUUUACACAGCGAAGAGGCAGACAGUGUCCAUUCUAUAUACAGUCUAUGGUGCAGACAAAUAAUGUGAGAAAGUUGCUUUGUAUAAAUAUUACUUAUAAUAUCGGCCUAAUAGGAACUUCAUCAAUUAAAAAAUCAACUGGGAAGAUUUAUAUAAUGAGGCAGAAAUAUACCCAAUGAUCGAAAAGUCAAUGUUUGGUGGCAAAGGAUUACCCAGAAACGGCUUCAUUUCACACACAGUUUAAAAUGCACUUUAAGGGCCCUAAUUAGUUUAAAGCUAAUGGCGCAAAGUGAAAAAAUGGUCCCAUUAUGUUUUCCUUUUUAAGCAGCAAACAGUCUGGGUGCUGACUUAGACACAGAGUUGUAUUGAGUUCCUUAAUUAUUGUGUUUGUCAAGCAUAACAUGAAUCAGACCAAUCAGAGUGUCUGCUCUCAUUCGCUGUAGGAGUCAUGUGUGACUGCAGACAGGCUCACCACUGUUGACAAAGUGGAUUUCAACCUUUCUACUUGAAUACAAGAAUAUCAAAUCACGAUGAUGAUUAAACUCCCUCACUGGUGUCCAGGAAUCCCCAGAUCCAGAUCCAGGAGAUAUUCACUGUGAAGUGUAACCUUUGAAACUGCAGUGGCUUGUUUUCUUCUGUCAUCAUGACAGCAGGUGUGCAGAAAGGGACAAAAAAAAAGCACUCAGACAUUAACUACAUCAAAGUUAACAUUAAAAUACUGACUGGUAUUAACACAAAAAAAACAGCCACUGCUUUGAGGACUGAAAACCUCCACUGAAGCCCAGCACAGUUCAAUGACAGCAUGUCUCUCAGCUCGAUAGAGCAGAAUAAGACAACACACCAUUCAGUGUUGGCAAUACUUGGGCAUAUCGCCGCCUGGAAAUAAAUUAUUUAAUAAGUGAAAGUUAAACUUUCAUGACUCCCCUUUUUCCCUCGGCCAAUAUAACCAAAGAUAUUGGUCUUUGCCCACACUGGAUCCCACCCUGGUUGGUCCAUGCACGGUGCUACGCUCCUCUCAGGCCUGUGGCUUUUCAUUUAUGUGUGUAUUUGUAGAUGCACGUGGGCUGCUUUGCCUCCCUCUCUCUGCUCUCUGUUAACGUUGACUCAUCCAUUUUCAGCCAGUUAAUAAUUCAGAGGGUCUGCAGGCUGUGUUUUCAUCUGUCUCAUCUCUGCACUCGCCUGUGAAAGAACCCCGAGUAAUUACACACCACCAAAACAAGACACCAACUCCUGAUGGCCAGCAGCGUGGUUGGGGAUGGAGGGUGAGCGAGCAAGGGGGUGAUAGAAGCAGAUUGGGAUGAAGAAGAGGAAGGAAAGCGGGUGAGAGGGAGACGAGGAGGGAUGGGAGGGCAGGAGGGGAGGGAUUGGAGGAUACAGAGCAGACAAGAAGGAUACACAGUGGAGAGAGGUGUCUCAGCACUGUUGUAAAUCCUCUGCAGGGCCUUGUAAGCUGUCAGGCAAGCUGAAGGUGUUAGAAGCAUGGAGUAAGGGGGCUGCACACACACACACACUCACACUCACAGGGACACACACGAAUCUGCGCGGGGAGAGAAGUUUACUCUUCUAAUCACUGGCUCGCUGCUGUGUUUUAUGGCUUUCUAUUCCUAUGUGAUUUUCUCUGGCAUGUCACAUAGGGUCUAAAGCCAUUGGGUACAGAGUGGGAGAUCUGCAGAUGAGUAUUAGAUGGAUAUAGGGAGUGACACCGGAGGGAUGAAAGCAGCACACACACCGAGGUUUAACAGCAUAUAUGUACACUCACUCACACACACAUAUACACGGCAUAGCCUGAGGCCUUUUUGUCUCUGCUUGCAGGCAGCACCGGGCUGGCUCAGCUAAUUGCCCCCAUAUGAGACAGGUUGAUAUGUAUCAGUCCCUGAAGCCACACACACACACACACACACUCACGAAAACAUGCACUUUAUGUUUUGUCUUCACCUGGGUUUUUGUCACCACUAUCCCCAACUUGCAUUACGCCCACUCCACUCACACACACACACACACACACACACAGGAUACACACUCCCCAGCGAGACCUGCUGGUGUUGCUGACUCAGGUUGGUAUUUAAUGAAGCUCUCAGUUUCACCCCGCGUCUACUAAUCUCAGCGCUCUUUUCUGAUUGGCCGCCAGCACAUGAGCGAAAAAUGUUAACGUUGGGAGUUUAGCUGUGCGUGUGUGUGUGUUUGUGUGUGUUUGUGUGUUCAAGAAGGAAGGAGACAGUGGCUGAGGAGCAAACAGGCUUGUGUAGAGAAAAAAAACAGAAGUGUAAUUGUUCAGGAGUUUUUAUUCCUGUUAAGUGACAUUGCUUGAUCGACCACUGAGCUGAUCCCACUGCAGUGUGUGUGCGUGUGUGUGUGUCGGUUUCUCUGCAUUAAGUUUUUUGCUGAGAGCACAAAAAAAUGUGAGAGACAGAGACAUUCACAUACAGAAAUACCUUAAGGGGCAUAUCAACAGCUGUUCACUGUAAGUUUUCUUAGAUUACACCUGUUUUCUGCCUCCACUGCAGGUCUGUGACUAACAAAAUGUACUAUAAUAUACACUUCACUUUUGACGCUGUACAGUUACAGGAGCAUCUUUAUGGGGCGCUCACACCAAACGCUAGUAAAGUCAUCUACUCCCUUAAUUCACACAAAUCCAGACACGUGAAUGAAUAGUAUUAACUCACUUCAUUCACGCGUCAACAGUAAUUUCAACGGUAAUCCCUGCCAAUUCUGUUCCCAUUCAGAUCAAGUGAUAGGCAAAGGUUGUUUAUAAUUUACCAGGUAAUCUGACCUCCUCACACAGGAUGACACAGUUGAAGUCUCCUGAUAUGAUUACAACUGCCUCAGGAUGUUGAGUCUGUAUCCUAGCAACAGUAUCAUGGAGAAUACAUGUAUUUUUAUGAUAUGACUGAGCUCCCUUAGAACAUAAUAUGGCCAAAGAGCAACUGUCAAUAUCUGGAGAACAAAGCUUCUCCUUGACAGUUAUGUGUGAAGAGUUACACCAUCUCUGGUUGACAAAUAAAGCCAGACCUCCUCCUUUCUUCUUGCCACUAGCUGGAGCAUCUCUGUCUGACCUUAUGAGAGUGAAGCCAGGUAGAUCCACACUGGAGUUGGAGUUGUUUUGAUUCAACCAGGUUUUAGUUAGGGUGACUAUAUUCUGAAUCCCCCAAAAAGAGGACACGACUACAUGGGGGGCGGAGUCACAGAAACACACGUAGUAAAUUUGGGGAGUUUUUCGGAUUGGGUUGAGUGUUUUUUACACGCCUCUAACUCAGUAAGUCCGCGCGACAUAAACUCAAAACUUCCAUGCAAAACCCCGGACAUUUGAAGGAUUUUAUAAAUUCCCCUGGACAAGGCCGGACAAGUCAGACAGCCCCCCAAAGAGAGGACAUGUCUGGGGAAAAGAGGACGUAUGGUCCCCCUAUUUUAGUAAAACACAGGAGACUGCACUCCUAGUAAGCUUCCUGAGUUAUCACUAGUACCUCCAGCUCAUCACUUUUGUUGAGCAGAGAGUUGACUUUUCCCAUGAUGCUGAUGGAAGAAAGGAAUCUCCACCUCCUAGCCUUCAACACUGCCUUCACCUUUACACCAGCACGGCAACCACGAUAACACCUCCUAAUGUCCUCUGGUAUUGGAUGUUGUUGUCCAGAUUUACUCUGACUCAAUGAAAGAAACAAAAGAGGUUCUUUUCUUGAUUAAACUCUUUUCCCAGGAGAAAUAUCCAUCAGCAGACAAAAAUAAAUUAAAAAAUAGAGCAAAAAUUUUCAUACAAUAAAAGACAUUGAGUAACCUCUUGGUUAAAGUACAUCAUUCUAAAUAUGGGUUGUCUGAGAUUGGGGGCCGGCGUGGUUCUGUCUAAUAAGUAAAUAUCACACCAACCCUCAAUUUCCACCACAUCUGGAAUGGCGGCGAAAGGGACGUCUGCACCAAUCACAACUGGAUUGUGUUUCCAUUCAAGUUGAUGUGUCAAUUUCCACCGGCUUCCUUCCGUCCUGCUGUUCAGCGGGGUUUGCAGCCAAUUGCCAGGGUUCUAUUUUUUUCCGGACGGCGCAGCAAGCUGCAUAAAUUCAGCACAGAUUAGCCCGUGCUGGAAAGGAAGUUUGGCAUAGAUACAAAAUAAAACAUCCUGCUUCUUUUCAAAAUAAAACACUACAUGUUGCAAGAAGAUCUUAUUUCACACCAUACAAAUGUAGGCGGGGAUGAACAAGUCAAAAGUUCUCAGACAUCAUUUCACCCCGUUGACACCAUGGAUGAGGAGAUGCUGAUUCUAGAAGUCUAGUAGUGGAUUUCCUCCUCUGGAAGGACACAAUCUAUUGCUUUUAUGGUUAUAUGGCUAUGUUUAUAGAGACAACUCAUUAUCGCACGAUUGCAUGUGAAUCCACGGGUUCUUGUGAGUUCUUGAGAUUCCCGCUGUCUGAAAUCCACCACCAAAUUCGCCUUACAAACGGAUCUGGUAGGAAUUGGCAGAUGGCGAAAAUUGGCGCUGUUCUGAAGCGAAGCCGUUCCGGAUGGAGUAAAAAUUGGGGGUUAGAAUGAAAUCAGUCCUUAAAGCUGCCGCAUGCUCAGUCCUUGGAGGCGUUUUAGCUGGAAGCACUCACCAUCCAGUGUAAAAAUGCAACUUCUGCACACUUAAUUAUAUUUUAUACUUAAGGCAAGUCCCAUAGGCAAUUCAAAUGAAGCCAAGUAAGGCAAAAUCACUUCUUCAUAGUUGCGAAAACCUCAGUAAUGAGUAAACUCACUUUACCUUCAAACCCACUCUGCCUUAAUUUGCAUUCAAACAAAUGAAAACCUCUUUCUUCUCCCUCUUUGAUUCCAGAUUCAUGCGUGUUCAAAAGACUCGUUGGGAGAAAACUCCUCACGAGCGGUGUGUGAUAUCUCGGCAGAUUUCCAGAUGAAGGAGAUUCGUUUUAACGCCUCUGUUCCUCUCGCCCAUCCCUCCUCUCACUCUUUCUCUUCCUCCUCUUCUCUCCCUCUGCAGGUGUUGGUGGAUGCGGUGCUUCAAAUAGACCAUGCCCUUCACAUGUGCCUGCUUCUGUGGCCUGAACGGCUUCUGCAGAAGACGGAAGAAGAAGAAAAAAGAGCAAGUGGAGGAAGAGGAGAGUGAAGAGGAAGAACAAUGGAGGGACCAGGAGACCCAAGUUUGACUCUGUCUCACCUGAUCAGGGUUUUCUCUUUUUACAGUCUGGAAUGUAAAUCCCAGGUUACUGCUGCUCAGCACUGACUGUCUGAUGUCAUGUAUAGAUGCCAAAGCAGAGAUGAAAAAGGGGCUUUAGCAUACACAAGCUAUUAUUCAAAGCCAUAAUCAACGGAUCUUUGCAAUUUUUACUCAAUAUUUCAGUCAGUAUGUUUACAUGUUGUUCAAAUGAUCAGCUUACUGCAUUAGUCCAAGUGAAAUGAGAUUAUAAAAGGACAUGUUAACACGUUGGUCCGACUAAGAUUGCAGUAAAUCAAACUUCUCAUAGUUGGACCAACAUAGUUAAAGGUCCCAUAUUAUGCAAAGUGAACUUUAGAAUGGUUUUCUUACCAGAAUAAUACCAGAAUAAUAUGCAUCCCCAGCCUGUCUACAAACCCCCCAAUGCUCCCGUCAACAAUUCGAUUCUUGUCCGGAGAUUGUCAAGCGGGACGAGGAGUGUGGUCCAAACAUGGCUCAACUUAACUGCAUGUAAACAUACUGACUGGCUGAGGUUUCAGGUUAAACACCUUUUCUACUUUUGAAACUGCUCAAACCCAACAACCACUUUGCUGUCUAGAGCCAUAUUCCUCCAGAUCAUUCAAGCCGUUGAAAGUAAAAGCUUGUGAACCCUGAGCCCAUCCCUGUUACCCAUCCCCUAAUUUACCCUCGGGAUCUCAUGGAGAUUUUAGCUUCUGCUGAUCUGAUUCCAAAAGCACAUUUUCCGAUCUGUUUGACUCAUGUUUUGCCAUAGCUGCUGUUCUGAAUCAGGAGUGAAGUGAAAACAGGCCCCAGAAAUCCAUUAUUCUUCCAUUCACACCUCUCAGUGAUACCACGUCUCUCUGUUCUCCUCCUUAUUCGCGACUCCACAGAGGCUAAAUUGGAACCGAGGCCCAGCAGAGCUCUGCAGCUCCUCAACUACCUGCUUAUGUCAGAUCAACUUAGUGAGAACUUCAGCUGAGUGAGAAGGUGUACAGUAAUUUCCAAAGUCACCCAUGGAGGGCUGGAGCCCAUCUCGUUUUUCACGCUGAGCUGGGCCCAAUCUAAAGCCGAGCAGCUGUCCAAUCAGCAGCUUAGCUGGAGUGUGAAGAUAGGAGUCAAGGGUCAGAGUGAGCAACAGGGUUUGUGAGAAGUCCCUCCUCUGAUGCCGUAGCAUCACCGUCUCAUUAUUAGGCAGAAAAGUAAUUACAAACACACACUCACACUAAUGCAGGCCCAUCCAUUAAUGUCCUCCUGUGGGAGUGGAGUGUCUGUCCGUAAAUGCCACUGCGGUGCGGUGCGCCUCCAGCUGUCACCUGUGUGAGUGUCUGACUCUGAGAGUGUGUCUGUUUCUUCUUCGCUACAACAAAAGACUUUCAAAAGUGAAACAAGUGGUGAAGAUAUCUAUUCAGCGGCUCCGGAGCGACUUUUUCUAAACCCACACUCACACACACACACACACACACAUAUGCUCCUCUCAUUAGCGCGUGUGAUUAUGCAUGGCACGUCCAGUCAGGCAGUGGAGAUGUAAUUAACCUUUUCCAGCAGGAAACAGAUGCCUGGAUGUCACACACAAACACACACAAUGACACACACAAUGACACACACAUACACACACGUCUGCUGUCAGGGAAACAAAGCCAACGUCAUGGUGUCACGGAAACAAAGCCCCAAAAGCGCCGCCUGGCACUCUGUGAUAAUCCCCUCACGCAUAUUUACAUUCAGGGCUUAGAAUACGCAUCGGUGCCGCCGCCGCCGUCCCGCCCCCCGCCCCCCCCUCCUCCUCCCCUGCCGCACUUUGCUCCUGCCCUUCAUCCAUCCUCUUGCUCCUCUCCAUCUACCUUUUGGCCUCUUCCACCUCAUUCCCCCCUUCUCCUUCUGCCAUUUCUCCUCCUUUCACACCUCCCCGUAGACUCUUUUCUCCGUCUGGCUCGCCUGUUUGUUAUCAGUGGACGGGACACAGCCUUGCAUUGCAGCCCCCCGUAGAUUAGCCCCCACUCUCUGUUUCUCUGACACCGAAUAUCAGGGAUUUCUUCAGGCGGGCCAAAAGCUGCUUUACGACAGAUUAAUGGACGUCUCUGAUUGUGUCUGUCGGUGUGUGUCUGUGCCUGGGUGGAAUAGAUUGUCUGUUUACUCAUUCUGCUGCUACAAGCGGCGAAAUGAGACAAAGCUAAAGCCAUUUCACAGUGUAGAGCACCUAUUAUGAUUCAGUGUGUUACGACGCAGCUCUAAUGAGAAAGAGAGAGAAUGAGAAGAGGGGCUGGAGGAGGAUAGUGGAGGAAGAGAGGAAAAGACGGUAAUGAGAGUGAGAUUUGGAUAUGGAAGAGGGGGGUAAUGCUAGACAGAGCAGUCAUGCUAAUUGGCUACAGUGGAUAACUUUCUGAGGCAGGGGAUGAGUGUGAACGUAUGAGUGUGUGUGUGUCUGUGUGUGUGUGUGUGUGUGUGCUGGGGGGGCAGAGAAAGAACGGCCCAAUCUGUCGGCAUUUCACUCGUUUAACGCUCCCUCCAUUUCACCUCUUUAAUGAGAGGAAUAUUCGCUCCAGUAAUGGCGAAAGACUUGAAAUUGUGAACGAUCUGUUGCUCAUACUUGCACACACACACACACACACACACACACACGUGCGGAGUGAGUGGGCCGAGGGGAGGAUGCUCUCGGCAGGGGGUGGGUGCGAGUGUUUUCUCACAAGCACCACAGCCCCAGUCCUUUAUGGAUCAUGGAAAUUUUCAGGGAUUGUAGCUCAAGGACAAACAGCUAAAAAUAGAGGGGUGGUGCACAGCGACUGCAACGGCGGCGAAGGAGGAGAGGUGUGAGGAGGUGUGUGCGUGUGGGUGGGUGGGGGCAGUGAAAACGAGUCCUGUCGCAUUAGAUUUGGGUCAGAAACGAGGGAAGAGCCGAUGAAGCGGAGAGUUUAGAGACGGGGAGAUUCAUCACUCGCUCCUCCCCACACCUCUCACUCGUCUCCUUCAACAGCUCGCUGCCCUCCCCCUCUCUGAGAAAAGAUGGUGAGAGCAAAGAGACACGACCACAUCUGGGUUGGUUAAUAUUAUUAUAUUAAUGUAUGCUGUUCUAUCCAAAGCCCUUUCCUGUAUAAUGAGUGCAUGCAUAAAUUAAUGUUAUGAAAGAGCUCAGAAAGGUACAAAAUCAAGGAUCACAGGGGGGCUGUUCAGAGUUUAAAGGAAGUUCAACAUUUUCAGAAACAUCAAAUUUCUAGACAGUUUAUCUUAAGAUGUAAAUACACACUCUCUUUCUCAGCUUCCCAGCAACAUUUGAGCUUAUCAGUCUCAAAGGACCCAUGGAGUAAAGUCAUACUUUCACCUCGACCGCAUCAUCUUAAUUGAAUCACACAUGUUAAUAGACUGUCUAACAAAGUGUUGGAGCAGCGAACAGUUAUGAAGGAGAAGAAAUCAGGUCAGGUCCAGUGAGGAGAUCCAAAGUGAGUCUACAUAAUACCAAAGCUGAAGGGUCAGCACAGCCAAACCUUUAGAGCAAGUCCUGUAGUUUCAAAUCCUGAUCCAAGCUAACAAGCUAACUAAUGGAGGUGACUGAUAAUGGUGCGUUCCAGUCGUAAUCGGAAGUCGGGAUUUCCGAGUACGUUCAACUGGAACGGCCAUCAGUUUUCCGACUCAGAAUGUCAGAUGAUCGACACAACCCCCUGAGUUGACAUUUAAAGAUGGCGGCGCCAGUUGUAAACAGUAAGUAGAAGCUCCUGUAAUGAGAAAAAACAGGCUACCUUCUGCGCCUUUGUGUGUCCUCUUCAUCCACCCAUGUUUGCAGGUUGCAGAAGGACUGCAUAUUUGUCUAGAAGUUGUCUAUAUUCGGAUGAGGCAAGCGCGAGAAUAACUUUCAUAGAUGUAGCCAUCUUGUUUCCGCUUCCGUUUUCUGCCAUUGGCUACUUUAUUCCGACUUUGUAACUGAGAUGCUGAUAACUUGGUGUGACGUCAUUCCCAGCUCCAACUUCUGAGGUAAACUGGAAAGCAGCAACGUAAUUACACUGUGAGGUGUUCAGGGUCAGAGUUCGUAAAAUUAGAAUUAGACCAAAGUAAAUGAUACCUUGUCAUGAUCUGUUCAAAUGUCAGGUUCAGAAAAAGAAAAAGUAGUUUUGGUUGAAAAAUCUGCACAAAUAAACCCGUUUGAAGGAAAACAAUGACAGAAAAGACUCAAUGGUGGUUUUGAUAGGGACUCAGGUUAUUAAGGAGUCUCAAUAAUGGUGUCAGCAUCCUUAGAAAAAACUAAAAAUCUCAAUCACAAUUUUCACUUUUGCUGGUGUAGGUACCAGAUGUGAUUGGGGUCGCCAGAUCUGCUCAGGGUCUGGCGCCUAUUGAUGACAUUACGCUAUAUGAUUGGCUGAAGUUGGUUCAGAUGACGUCAUAGAUUGUGGUUGCUCUGUACAUUACAGAAGUGAUUUUCGCCGGAUUAGGUUUCAUGGGAAUGUAGUUCUUUGGAGAAAACAUGGACGAAUUUUUACGAAGCAAUCUAUUGCUACUUAUCAAAGGGGACUUACGACAGUCAGACUAUUGAAAAACGGAGAUCCUGCUAAUUUUUUUUCUUUUUCCUUUAGAAAAGUUAACAUAUACAAUUAAAGCCAUCUAAAAAUUACAGUACAGUAAGUUGUAAUUCUCUGUAUUAUAUGAGGAGAACAUUUUGAGGUCAAUUAAAUGAACAAAUGGAAAUAAAGAAAACCACUAGGGGCUUUUAACUGAGGAAAUUUGACCAGUGCAAUGUAAUUUGUCGAAGUGGACUUGCCGUUGUGUGGCGUCUUCAACAGGUGCUGGGCCCCGAGCUGAUCUGGCUGGUUGCGCCUUUAUACUCUGCUGUUGGAGUUUCUUGGCCUUUGUGCAACGUUGCCCGGCAGAGUGGUUACAGCCACGCUCCCUCAUUUUCCACAUAACAUCUGUACAUUUGUGAGUAGCAUCCUACAAAUAUGCUCACUGCUUUAAGUCCACCCAUGAAUAAGUUGGUUAACUGGCUAAAGUCAAUUUGUAUGUUAGAGUCCAUGAAUGGCCUUUGUUAGGCUGUGCAGUGGGAAGAGAAGACUGUGGUGUGUGGUUUGGGCAGCUUUGCAACACAAAAGUACUUUAAGGAAAAAAUGUACCGUCUGUGUAAAAACAAAGGAAGCAAACAGGGCACGGUUCAUGAAAAUGGUUUCAUCAGAAAAAUUGAUGACAUAUGAUAAGGAUUAGUGAAAGCAGUGGAAGGAAUCCAAACAAGUCAGUGCCAGUGUCAGUCUCACGUUUCAAAAAGAGGAGCAACAUCCUGGAGCGCUCAGGGCCUCCUCAGUGGGUGGGUGUUAUUUUGAUUUGUAAACAUGUCAAAAUGAAUUCCAGGGUGAAUUGUCCUACAUUUAUAACUUGUUUGAGAAAAGAAGUUAUUGCCAAAAAAAGAACAAAUUGCUCCAGGUUGCUGAUAUCAAUCUUGCUGGGAUCUCUUAUCUUAAAAGAGUGCAUUGUAGUUAGCGCCUCAUAGUUUUGAGAAGAAAAAAAAGAAACUAAUCCCAUGGUUGUUGUUUUAAGAUAUGCAAUACAGCUGCAACAUCCCCAGUUUGAUUCUACCCAGACACCAGUAUUUCAUGACAUUGCAUCUGUGUGCCUUUUACCAUUAUCACAUUUUAAAAGUAUAAUUAAUCAUGAGUUCUACCAGCUUAAAAGUGCGAGUUUGAUUACAAUUAGUCUCAGGCUUGAUCUCUUCAUCAUCAUCUUCCUCUGAGAGUACUUUGUUGUGGCAUUGAAGGAGUUCCUGUCUGCCAACAUCGAACACCUUUACAAGCAAUUAAAAUCAUGUCUGUCCUGGCACUGUCCUUUAGGGAAUGAAACCCUCAACUCUGGCACUGUUGCAGCUCUUUUCCCCUCCAGCAUGUCCUCCUGUGCAUUAGUCUGUUGUCCUUCCAUUCCCCUCUCCUUCCCUCACCCACAUCUGUUCUGUUUUUGUAAUGAGGAGGAUGGUGAUGGUCCCACCAAGGCUAAUUAGUUGAACCGAGAAGCAAGGCAUUGAUAGACCGGCAAUAGAGUCUGGAGGGAAGCACCAACGCAGACCGCUCAGAGCGCCCACCAGUCCCUGAGCAUCAGAGGAGGAAACAACGGAGAGGAAAGCAGACAGAAGAGGGGAAAAAAACUGCCGAAAAGGAAGCAGAGGGAGGUAUAUAGCGUAAUUGAGACUGUAAUGGGUUUUGUCAGGAGCACCUGUCCGGGUCAAGUUAAAACCGCUCUGGUGAUGGAAGAGGAGAGAGAUGAGAGGAUGGAAAAGGAGAGAAAGGGCCAAUUGGAGUCAGGAUCCCGGAGAGGAGAGACCCUCGCCCAUGCCAACCUCACCUGAUUGCCAAUUUGUGCCAGUCUAAGGACAUCACAUGGCAAUACGAGCCGCCCGCGCGCACUCAAACGCCACUGAUUAGAGAGCUUUAACCAACUGAAAGCACCCGUACACAUUCAAUCACACUCAUGUGCAAACUCACGCUGACAGGCCUCCUACGCCGGCUGAUUGGACACAUCUAGGUGCUUAACAAAGUGUCCGUGGUGCAGAUCUAAGCUGUGUGAUUGGGAGAUAAAACUGACGGCUUUAAAUGGAUAAUUCUCCCCCACGUCUGGAUGAAAAUAAGGUGCAGCAAUGAUUAGAUUGCAGCCCGCUGUGCCAACCUCGGGUCUGCGCCAUGUUCAUUACCAACACUCACCCCCCCACCCAACAAAUCCUAUCUCAGUUUGUGUUCUCCUGCCAACCCCAAAUACUCUGUUCGUGAUGGAAAAGCAAUUCUGACACCCUCGAGAGUGGAGGUCGAUGCCUGAGGAGUGAUGAAAUUAAGUCGGGUAGAAUUUAUUUAUAAAUUGCUGUUAAAGCCGUACCUGGCAAUUUAACAUGGUGACAGGCCCAAAUGGCAGCGAGACAUAACUGAUGGAAAUUUAAGACCUCAGUACCAAAAGACUCUGUGAAGGUGGUGUCAGCGCAGGUGAUGGAGAGGUUCAACCAUCAUUCCUCAGGACAAAUUCAUACUCAAGUUUUACAAGAGACGUUUGCUGCCUGAAUCACAUACAGGCAGCAAAAAAGGCACACUCUCCUUUUCUGGAAGACUACAGGUGAUUUUUAGAUGGCACAGCUUUCUGUGUCACAUGGACUUUGCAUAUGCGGUAUGUGUGCCCUCAACUAGAAGCUGUCAGUGGGUAAAGAUCUAUUCACCCACCCUGUGAGUCAGCAAACACACAGAAAUCUAAGUGGAUUGUGUAGCUUGUUUCUCCUUGUAGUUUUAUUCCUGCUGGUUUUUCACACCUGCAUUUCUUGAGUAGACAGAGCGAAUACAAAUAACACUAAGGAUGAAUCUGCUUCUCCCUCCAACAAUGCAGUCAUCGUGUAUCUGGAAAAGUAUUUUCAGUUCAUGUGUAAUGGCUGUUAACUCGGAUAUCUGUAGAGAAGCAUUAGAAGUCGUAAUUCUUUAUCUGUUUUAUGGCGUUAAUUUUAAUAGAACAGAAAGAAACAUGGUAAAAAAGGUGUGCAUGGGGUAGAUGUAAUACCGACACAAGGUAGCCCAACAGGAUGGGCAAUGGGGUGUAUUUCAUUCCAUUUCCAAGACCAAAGAAAGACCAAAGUGAAUGUCUGCUAUGGAUGAAGUUGUGUGGCAGACCUCACAGCCAACUUAACGUCCAGAACAGGGGCAGACUGGGACCAAAAUUCAGGCCAGGAGUUUAACUCCAUCCAGGCCAGGCCAAUACACAUUGACACUUAAAUGCCAGCACCGGCGAAAAGUUUUGGACAUUUGAAGCCAGAUUUAGUGAAUAUAAUUCUAAUGUGAAGAAUUCAACAUUGGCUACAUGCCUUUAACUAUUUGUUUACUCAUUUAAACUAAGAGUGUAGCCUUCCACAUUGCUGUUGUAUUAUGAUAAAUGUUGAAAGCCUGUCAGAAAAAGUCAAAGUUCUCGAGAGGCAUAAAACUUGGAUUAGCACCACCAGCAUCGUAGCCAUCUCGGUGUCGGUCAGCGACCUUAUCAAACUCAAAACAAUCAGAUCUUAGAGCAACAGCAUGAAAAACACUUAAAGAUGUUGCCUCAGGGGGAGGAAGAGAAAGAAAAACCAUCAGCUCGGGAGCGGAGCAGACAACGAUGCUCAAUCAGCGCAUCCACGGCCGAUCACCUCACAGCUCUACUUCCUACUUUAGCACCAGCAACGUGUUGCCAAGGCAACGGACAUAAAUUAAUUAAUUAAACCCUUGCUGCUGGCCUGCUUCCAAGUUCAGUGGCCUACCUGCUGGCACACACACGCACACAAUUUGGUGGCAGGCCAGGCAAUGCCCCGAUGGUCCAGUCCACCACUGGUCCAGAAGAUCAACAAAGGGGUCUAUGUCAACAAAGCUUUAAAUCUACUAACUUUACCUACAUUUUUUUAAUCUUCAUUAGCGAUGUAGUAACAGAACUUUCGUCUCUGGUAAACUAGCUCACGCUAAUGUUAGCCCAGGUUAGCACACUAUAUGAGUGACUGUAACACUCAGUAACACUAAAAAGGCCUUCCUGCAUGUUCAACUUGUAGAACCCAACCAAAUUUUUAAUAGUAAAAUCUAAUUGGUCUGUUUUUUCUGACACAGAUGGGAAACCAUUGAGCGUGUCAGCAAUUCCAGACCCACCUGCUUACGAAACGUCUGUUGGGUCUGACAACACCAGGUUCCAUGUCUAUGACUUUUACAGCAGAGCAGCAUUGGAGCUUUGGUUCGCUGACAUCACCAUAAACAGGCCAUGGUGCAAUUUGUCUAGACAUUGUCGCUGUGAUUCCUGGAAACAGUCACCGUUAAUGCCACAGUUUGGGUGUUGGAGCAGUCUUUGCUUUAUGGUUUUAAUUGUCAGAAUUUUAUAAUGGCAAUAAGAACAUUUUAAACCAGCAGCAGAGUCAGCAGACACUGUGCCAGCAGAGUAUCCAAUUUAUGUCAAGUUGAGAGGCUGAAAAUCUCCUGUGGACUUCAGAGUUUGUGGGCUGAAGGUUAAAAGAUGCGCACAUUGAGAUGGAUGUAAUAUUUUUCUCAUCAACUUUAACACAAACUCCCAUAACUCUCAGCGAGUGCUCCGGGCUAUCUGAGCGUACACACUUCACUUUCAGCCACUGCUGCUGUUUAUAACUCUUGUUUGUUCAUAAUGGAGAGGAAGGGAGGCUUUGUGUUUUAUCCGACCAGAGAAAAACUUUUCUAAUUGACCAGGGGCUGUAAACAGGUCAGGAGACCCACAUAUCUGAUGCCAAAUAACCACCAUCAAGGGGAUGGGGGGUGUGUGUGAGGAGGGAGUGAAUCAAUUUCCUCCUGUUUUUUCCCCUCAGUCUUUUCUCCUCAUCCUGCCCCACCUCCUGCUCUUUCACACUAACUCAUCCACACACACACACAUCGGUGCUGGUCGAUAACAGAGCGGGUAUUGAGCAGUGGCUGUGGUCUAAAUGAGAGUUUGAUUUCUCGUGGGGUUGUUAGCCCCUGUAACCAUAGCGCUGUGUGGCCAUCAGAGACCUCUUCGCCAAACGUUCAUUGAUGAAGUGCGUUUGUGGGCUUCUGGCGGCGAGCGCGCGCUUUAAACACCUUUUGAUUUAGUUGUGCUCAAGAACAAUACUUUUCAUUAGAGGCUGAUAGCAUUCAUUAAGAGCAAUUCAGCGGGGCCACUAAUGAGCUGCUCCGCUCGUGAACACUUCAUUCUCCUUGAAAAACAAUGAAGCGCGGUAUCACACAAACACACGCUCUCUGAAAGACCGCACUUGUCCCUCUAGCAUCUUGAGUCAGUUCUUGAAAUGUUAGUUCAUCAGGGCUCUGUAUAAGUGAAAACAGGCCUGCCGAGGCUUUGAAACUGAAAACAAGUGAGCCUUCCUGCUUCAACUACAAAUGCACUUGUCAUGUUUGAGCUCAUUCCUUACAUUUAUCGAGCCGCUGAAGCUGUCUAAACCGAGAAAAAACCUCCACCUUCGAUCUAGUAUGUGGCCAAAGCUGCCAAAACCUUUGAGCUCUUUCCAGCACCCUUUAGACGAAGCUUUCCCUUGCAGGUUCAAGAUUUAAGUUUGAGUCUUGCAAAUUCUCCAAACAGCUCUUUAGUUGAAUUUGUGAAAUGCAAUCUCCUUUUACUUCCAAGUUGUUGUUUUUUUUUUUUGUAUUAUUCAUAUCUGCCAGCCUUUGCGGCAAGGGAGCGAGCCGAGCAGAGAGAAAAACGGAGAACAGAGGUUGGACCUUUGACGGUAGCAUUGAUGAACAGCUCGACAUAGUGAGAUACAUAAACAUGAGGUCAGAGAGUAUCGCAGUGGGAGAUGGAGACGGAGGAAGGAGAAAGAAGGAGAGAGAGGGGGAGAACGAGUGAGCGAGCGAGAGGAAGACAGAUACACUGCAUCAGAAAGGUUGUCUCUCAUUGACAAGCCCUCACUCUGUUCAGGAAACCCACCAAUCAAUUCUUUGGCACAGCGGGGAACACACUCAAAUACACACAAUCGCACAACCUGUGAGGCAAUUUGUGUGUGUGUGUGUGUGUGUUAGAGUGAUGAAGGAAAGGAUGUGCCAGAGGUCUGCAUGCUGCAGGAGAGUGUGUGUUUGAAAUGCAGAGCACGUCAAGAGUCCUAGGGAGCUCCUUUUGCAGCAAAGCCUCAUUAAAGAGACACUUGCCUUAAAGCAAGGAUAUACUGCCAGACCACACACACACACACAGACAGACACACACAGAGACAGACAUAUACAAUUGACACCAGCACUACAGCUUCACUCAGACUAAGACAAAGUGACAGCAGAAGCGGCGUCGGACAAACUGAAUCGAGAUCCCGGUGAAGCCGCGAGUGGAAGGAUAAAUGCGUGGUCGUGUUUGUCCUCCACUUUCAUCCCUUUUUUCUUUUCCUCUUGUUCUCCACAUGAAUAAAGUUUCAUUUAUCCAACCCCCACUCCGCCCCCAUCUCACACUAAUAUUAUAUUCAUAUAUAUUUGAUUGUGUCAACUCUGUGGAGACUGGCUAUGCUGUAUCUUGUGUGCCUUUUAAAAAUGCAUCUAUGAAUAAAUAAUGUCUGUAUCCGCUGAUUGAAAAAGCCAUAUUGCCAGAAAGCCAUGAUGAAAUGAUAAUGUAAUAUCUGUCCCUGUGUUGAAUAAAGCAAAGCACCCCUCAGACUCUCCCUCCCUCUUUUUUUAAUUCUCCUAGUAAAUGAAACUUAAGCUCUGCAUCUGCACCUUCCUCUACCGCCUGAUGACAUUCUCAUGUAUGGUUUGCACUGCUGCUCUGAGUGUGUGUUUUAAUAAAGAGAGAUCAUCUUUCUAUACGUCUGAGUGUGUGUGCUUGUUUGGAGAUAUUAAUAAAGAGAAGCAAGCCGUUUCCCGAGCGGCUCCCCUGCUAAUUGACAGUGAUAGCAGAGAGCCGUCUCCUGGGCUGAUGUCGGAGCCUAAUAAAGAUGCAUUACUACGAGGAUGUGAGAAUGAUGCAGAUCCCGUGUCCCCCCGCCCCACCCCAUCCUCGCUCCCUCUCUCUCUAUUUCUCCCAUCCUCCCUCUCUGAUAAACUAGGCCAAAAAAAGGGGAUAUGGGAAUGUAAAUAAUGAAAUGGGAGCAAGUAAAGGAGAGUAAGAAGAGGAGGUGAGAGGAGAGUUGGGGGAGAAGACUGCAUUGAGAGAGAGAGAGAGAGAAAUCCCAUUAGGAGCAGCUCCAUGCCUAAUGAAUGGGAUGCUAAGUUUGAUAACCCCUGCUUAAUUUCACAAAUUCUUAAUUGGCAUGACAUUUCAAGUUACAAGCUCGGGCCAUUUUGUGACCCUGUGGUGUCGCUCGGUAAAUAACACACACGCAUGUACAAGCACAUGCGCGCUUUGGAGGCAGCCGCUGUGGCUCGUGGCUUUGAUAUUCUCUCAUUAGCAUAGCAACAGCGAGCUGACCAUCCACAAGGGAGACAGUAACCCAGGCAACCAGAGCAGGCUGGUCUAACUAUGGGAACCAGAGGCAAAAAUGGAGAACUCCUCCAACUCUUCAUCCCAACGUAUCAACACACCCAAGAAUUAAGCAAUGAUCCGCCGCUGUACCCUGUGAGAGGCAUGGUUAUGUUCAAUUCUUGUCGUCAGUCUCUGGAUCAUGUUCAGUACUUAUGUUUUAAAAAGUUUCCAUCAUCUGUGGGUUUAAGAGGGCAAAUGCAAAUGCACUUAACAUCUUCUGUAUGCACAUCAGUGUUUUGUAUUUAAAACUCAAAAUGUGCCAUGUACCUUCAGGCGUCAGACUGACAGUCGGUGACCUUCUUGAAUGAAGGUCCUGUCUUUGUACAACAUGCUCACCAACACUGCAAAACCGUAGACUGUAUAUAGAAUGGACAUUGUCUGCCUCCUCGCUGGGUGAAGCCACAGCGAGGACAGCACCCUCUGGUGACGGGCUGCAGUAUAGAUCAUAAAUCCCGCCUCCUCCAGCUGUGGACAAACUUUAGAAAUUUCUUACACAGAUAUAAAGUUUUCUCCCCCCUGGUUGCGAUGUUGACAUGUAGUUACUGUAAGACUGGUUUGUGCUCAAGUCCUCUAUUUUCUCUACAGCUCCAUUUUUAAAAGUUAUUAGGGGGUUCAUGUUUUCUAUGAUUGACACUUGAUACAGCCUAUGGCCGUACCUAGAUUUGAGCCGAGUGUCAUCACAGCGACUCUCUGCGACUCUCCCACCGAAUGCGUACAACGCUACUGCGCAAGUAGUGGUUCCGGGAAGUGGAGAAAAUCCCAGAAAUACUGAGAGCAAUUCAGCUUCAAAUCAGUAUAACGACGGAAGGCGGAGCCAAGUUGUCCAUAUUAUCCAGUCCAGUUAAUGUGCAGAACUAUGGAGUGGAUUCAGAGUUUUAAAAGAGCCAAACCAUUUUGAAAUGAGCCCCUUUUCCUGGCAGGUGGCCUAGUAUCACAGGCCGGGGGAAUGAUCCUGCUCAAUUCAUUCAAUUUUUUAAAGGGACGUACUAAGGACCACAAACUAAAGGGGACUGUGCAGAUGAGAUUAACAUGUGACGAAGGGCAGAGCAACAGUAAUGCUCUCAGACAGCUGCAUAAAAAGGAAGGGAUGUUUCUUAUAAUUGAACACUGUUUUUGCCUCGUUUAAAUGAAAAUACAUCAUCUGGUUAGCUUAAAACAGCCGGCAUUAUUUCCUAAACCUUUUAUCUCUCUACUGGUACUGACAAUUACCGAAGUAUUGCAGAAUCAGAAGAAGAAGAAGAAGAAGGUUGGUAUCUGUUGAGUUCGAGGCUUCCCCUUUGACUUUUGUCAGAGCUGAUGAAGACAUGAAAGUUAGUCAGUAACAUUUACCUGUAAACUAUGUAAAGUCGUGUAAUUUCUGCCUUGUCUCAACUUUCUUAAAAUUGACUGUAAGUACCUAUUGUGUUUUCUAUAAGUGUUGUAAAAUUGUCAUCAUUGUGGUUGUAUUAAUUGUAAGGUGAAGCACUGGUAUUGUAGCGACUUGUCAUCCAUUUUUCUACUGCUGGUCACCUUGUCUUCAGUUAACAUCAAUAAAACAUUUCAAUAUUGAAUGAGCUUUGGCCUUCAGUGUAUACUAUCAAUUUGUUGAAGACAAGAAUAAGAAAAAAAUAGUAGCAUUUCACUGAACAGGGAGAGGUAACGAUUGCAUCAGAAACAGUGACGCAUUGUGACGCCUGAACAGAAAGCACUACAAAGUCUUUAGAGCUGAUUAAAUGGGAUAUAACUUUUCCAUUGGUGAGAUUUUUGUAGCACCUGCAAGAGGAUUUUGUAAUCUUCUUAAGUUCAACGUGCUUUCUAGAUGAUCUACACAGUGAUUAUGCUGAUGGUACCUGACUGGCUUAGCUGCUGAAAGGAGUGGCUGAGUUAACAAACCGUUAUAACAAUGUAAAGGAUCUGAUCCAGAACCAAUAUUUAAAACUUAUUUCCUAAAACUGUUUAACCACCCUUUAACAUUUCCUUUGUCAUACUUUUCUUACUAAACAAUGUUGACCAAAGUUAGCGGUGCUUUUCUAACUAACUUUCUAAAUCCACUGUAAGUAAGCUACUUAAUGCUAUUCCUUGAGGCAAUAUUCAGGCGUAAAAUUAAGUUAGGGUCAAACACACGGUAACACUGAGUUAGACAACCCCUCGAGAGAUGAAUGUUGCCGACUGCUUGCUUCUUUAGUUAUACCAACUUUAGUAACGACACAGCAAUACACAGCGGUCUACGUCUCCAAGCAACAAACCUCAACCAAAACGCCA